rnacentral:rRNA from 1 species
UACGAGAGGCCCAAACGUUAUUCGGAAUUACUGGGCUUAAAGAGUUCGUAGGCGGCGCAGCAAGUGGGGUGUGAAAGCCCCCGGCUCAACUGGGGAGGGUCACGCGAUACUGAUCGACUGGAAGGCAGGAGAGGGUAGUGGAAUUCCCGGUGUAGUGGUGAAAUGCGUAGAUAUCGGGAGGAACACCAGUGGCGAAGGCGACUACCUGGCCUGUUCUUGACGCUGAGGCGCGAAAGCUAGGGGAGCAAACGGG